rnacentral:rRNA from 1 species
GACGAACGCUGGCGGCGUGCUUAACACAUGCAAGUCGAACGGAAAGGCCCUGCUUUUGUGGGGUGCUCGAUUGGCGAACGGGUGAGUAACACGUGAGUAACCUGCACUUGACUUUGGGAUAACUUCAGGAAACUGGGGCUAAUACCGGAUAGGAGCUCCUGCUGCAUGGUGGGGGAUGGAAAGUUCCGGCGGUUGGGGAUGGACUGGCGGCUUAUCAGCUUGUUGGUGGGGUAGUGGCGUACCAAGGCUUUGACGGGUAGCCGGCAUGAGAGGUUGGACGGCCACAAUGGGACUGAGAUACGGCGCAGACUCCUACGUGAGGCAGUAGGGGGGAAUAUUGCACAAUGGGCGGACGCCUGAUGCAGCAACGCCGCGUGCGGGAUGACGGCCUUCGGGUUGUAAACCGCUUUCGCCUGUGACGAAGCGUGAGUGACGGUAAUGGGUAAAGAAGCACCGGCUAACUACGUG